rnacentral:piRNA from 1 species
UGUUUAUUUUUAAUAAACUCAUCUGA